GAUGAACGCUGGCGGCGUGCCUAAUACAUGCCAGUCGAGCGAACAGACGAGGAGCUUGCUCCUCUGACGUUAGCGGCGGACGGGUGAGUAACACGUGGAUAACCUACCUAUAAGACUGGGAUAACUUCGGGAAACCGGAGCUAAUACCGGAUAAUAUAUUGAACCGCAUGGUUCAAUAGUGAAAGACGGUUUUGCUGUCACUUAUAGAUGGAUCCGCGCCGCAUUAGCUAGUUGGUAAGGUAACGGCUUACCAAGGCAACGAUGCGUAGCCGACCUGAGAGGGUGAGCGGCGACACGGGAACUGAGACACGGACCAGACUCCUACGGGAGGCAGCAGUAGGGAAUAUUACGCAAUGGGCGAAAGCCUGACGGAGCAACGCCGCGUGAGUGAAGAAGGUCUUCGGAUCGUAAAACUCUGUUAUUAGGGAAGAACAAAUGUGUAAGUAACUAUGCACGUAUUGACGGUACCUAAUCAGAAAGCCACGGCUAACUACGUG
rnacentral:rRNA from 1 species